GCUGGCCUAAGUGGUUAGAGCGUUCGCUUUGGAUGCAGGAUGUCGUGGGUUCGAAACCCAGCUAAAUCA